rnacentral:rRNA from 1 species
UGGUGGAGUGAUUUGUCUGGUUAAUUCCGAUAACGAACGAGACCUUAACCUGCUAACUAGUUUGCUUCUGAACAAGAGGUAUAACUUCUUAGAGGGACUAUGUGUUUUAAAUACAUGGAAGUUUAAGGCAAUAACA